GGAGCGCUCGGGCCACCGGCUCCCGCCCCUCCGGGCUGGGCGGGGUGGUCGCAGAGCCCUCAGUGGGCGACGGGCGGACCGUUACCCUGGAAGUUCCUCAGUGAGCAGCGACCGGAGCUGCCCUCUGGGAGGUGGGGAACGCGCGGCUGCUCCCUUGGGCCCUUUGCCUGGACCCGGACCUGGGUGGGCACCAGCCUCAAACCCGACGCUUAACGCGCCGCCGGCCUGCGACGGGCAGGGCCUGCUCGGAGAUCCCGCGCCGCCUGUUAGAAGCCCAUCCUCCUUUACUCCACUACCAAAUCUUGAGGUUCUUCAAAAUCAGUCCCUUGAAAGUGAUGUCAACAAAAAUGACCUGCCAUACAAGAAAUACCAAAUGGAAUCCUUCGGCCUGAAAUGAAGGGACACUGGGCAGUACCAUGAAGAAAUCA